UUUCUUUACCAUAUACAGUAUUUAUAUUGGUUCAAGUGUGCAGUUUGAUAAGGUUUGUAUUUCCUUUGUAGCCUAUAGGAAAUUUGUUAGCCAUAUUUAAGUUAGUACAUUUUGGUAUCGUAUGUAAGCUUCGCUUUAGUUCAAUGUUAGAGUAAAUGUAUAAGGUUUUAUAUUAAUAUUCAUCCGCAGCGGGUAAGUGCGCGAGCUCAUACGGCCGUUACUCAAGCGGAAGGCUGCAGCCUCUGGAGGUCGCGUGUCUUAUUUCAGAAUAUUAACAAGUAUAAAUUUGACUAUUAUUCUUAGUUAAUCGUAAAUUGUUGUAAUAUGCUUAUGACUUGCGAAUGUAAUGCUCAGUUAACUUAAUAAACCAGGCUUGGUGACGUAUACAGCCUGCCUAUGCGACCUCCGGAGGAUGCAGCCUUCCGUUUGAGAAACGGCCUACAUGUGUACCGAGGGCGAGCGUGCACGAAAUUCUGUCUGAAUUGAUUCUUCAAUAAUGGCAAAGCAAACAUUUUCUGUCGUGAUGAUUAAACACAUUUUAAAGUUUAAAUUAAAACUCCUACCUUUCCAGGGGUUUCUGUUCCUGCAGUCUUCCAGCGACACUUCAGUCGUGUGUGUACUUGCUUGCCGCGUAUGACCAUACGGACACGAACAAUAUACCGCCACCUACUGUACUGUAGUAAAAUGACGUGUAUGAUUGAAUACGGUGGCACAGGCAGUAAAAAUAGCCCUUUUUCUCAGCCUUUAAACAUCUGACUGAUAAAUGUGUAGUGUACUACAAAAAGGUAAGUUCAGCACCAGAUCCGCUUAUGUUAUACUGUAAUGACCUCUGUGUAUGACAUGUGCUAUACAAAUAAACUUGCCUUGCCUUGUAAGAUUGAUACUGGUUUGAGAAAAACUAAGAUUUAAACAACCAAAUGUUUCCAGUGCAACAUGAAAAAACAUUGGAAAACAAUUUUCAGCCUAAGGUUAGAUAAUGUAGCCAAUGGUCCUCUAUUAAUUUUGGUACAAUGGUACAUUUCCUUUGUGUACUGCAAGCUGAACUUACCGAUUUAUAUGGACUUUACUUACAGGUUUUCUGUGCUAUGUUGCUCCAUUUCACGGAGCAAAAUAAGUCUGAGGUAGCACCAUCCUUGUGGUUUGAGUUGAACAAUGGGGGUAUUGAGACCAAAAUGAACAAUGUGCCACUCUAGACAGCUGUAGACAAAAUAUGCAUUCAGAGUAUUUUCUCAAACAGAGAGAGAAUUCCAGGCCAAAAGGACUCAACAGAGACAACAUUGUCAGUACACAAAACAAAAAGUUGGAAUGAUUAAGAAAAAUGCAUGUUUCUAUACAUAUUUUAUGUGAAUUAAUCAUUAUUGACAGUAAUUGCACAAGUGUAAGUAAAAACUUUAAAAAAAAUCCAACUGUUGAAUAUUUGAUUGUUAAAUGCUAAACGUUAAACUAAAGUGUACAUGGUCCAUGUUAAUGUUUUUAGUAUUAUUUUUUUCAUCUGAGGAGCCAGGUGAAACUAAAAGGUCACAAUAUGAUUUACUAUCAUAUUAUUAUUUCAUUCUGAUUUUUCUCCUGUUUUUUUUCUGAGUUAGAUGAGGAGCAACCAGUACAUCAAAGCAAAAAUAUGCUAUGAUAUUGUCUGAGGCACCUUAUUUUCCAUGUCCUUCACAAUCACAAAUGCAGCACACCAGUCAAUUUCUGCCAUUCAGAAGAAUCAGAAAGAAAUCUUGGAUUGGAAAAUCAUUCUGAAAGUAGACUAAAUUCAGGACAACAUCACAGCAGUGGUCGGAAAAACAUCAGUCAAUGAGCAAGCCAAGCUAACUUUCAAAAGAUGAUUUGUUAUCUGUCUUCAGAGGGACGGCAGCUUGGAGGAUGCUACAGCUACACAGGGAGAAUUUCAGCAGCUCAGUUUCAUACUUGCAACUAAUAAUGAAUAAUAGUUAGAAGACAGCGGAAAGAAUUGACAUCGCAGAGACACACACCAAGAGACACGCACACACACGCAGCUGAAGCGAGUUUGACUGACGCGCACGGGAGAUCGGG